rnacentral:miRNA from 1 species
UCUUUGUGUCGAGGUUUCUCCUCACGAGUGGCUGCUCACUUGAGCCAGUAAUUGCUUCUAAUGGAAUGUUGUGCUCGAGUGAGCAGCCGCUCGUGAGGAGAAACCUCGACACAAAAAA